rnacentral:rRNA from 1 species
ACAAUGGAGAGUUUGAUCCUGGCUCAGGACGAACGCUGGCGGCGUGCUUAACACAUGCAAGUCAAGGAGAACGAAUCCUUCGGGAUACUAUUAAACUGGCGAACGGGUGAGUAACACGUAGGCAACCUACCUCAGAGAUUGGGAUAACUUCGGGAAACCGGAGCUAAUACCGAAUAAUGCAGCGGAUCCUUCGGGAUAUGUUGUUAAAGUGGGCUUCGGCUCACACUUUGAGAUGGGCCUGCGUCCGAUUAGCUUGUUGGUGAGGUAAUGGCUUACCAAGGCGAUGAUCGGUAGCUGGUCUGAGAGGAUGAUCAGCCACACUGGGAUUGAGAUACGGCCCAGACUCCUAC